rnacentral:ncRNA from 1 species
AAAAAAGUUUGAUUCUGGCUUUUAUAUUUUUCUUUUAAUUUGUAAUGCAUGUAAAAUUUAAUAAGGUUUUAAUUUUCUUAAUGAUUAGUUUUUAUUUUCAGUGUUUGUGAUUUUUAUUUUGUUGAUGCAAUUAAAGCUAUUUUAAAUUUUGAGCUAAAAAAUGUUGUGCCAGCAUUUGCGGUUAUUCAUCAAGCUCUAGAAAAUUUUUAUUGGAUUUCAGAUUUAUUAAUUUUAUAUUUAUUCUAUUUGGGUGAAAUUUAUAUUUUAAUUUUUUAUUUUUUGUUUCUGAGUAAAUUUUUUUAUAAACCAGGAUUAGAUACCCUGUUAUUUUAAAUAAGGUUUUUUCAUCCAGGGUAGUAAAUUUAAAAUUGAAAUUUAAUGGAUCUGGCGGUUUUUAAAUCUUUUUAGAGGAACCUGUAAUUUAAAUGAUAAUCCACGAUUUUUUAUACCUUUUUUUUCUUGUAUAUCUCUGUCGUUGAGUGUAAAGAUAUUUAAUUUUCUAUUUCAGUUGUUAUGAAUUAUGUUAGGUCAAGAUGCAGUUAUAAAAAGGUUAUUAUGGGUUACUUUAAUUUUUGUUUUUGGAUGAUUUAUUUUGAUUAAAUUUUGAAAUUGGAUUUAAUAGUAAUUUUAUUUUUUAGAUAUUUUGAAUUUGGCUCUUAAUUAUGUACAUAUCGCCCGUCACUCUCAAACAUUGAGAUAAGUCGUAACAAAGUAGGUGUACUGGAAAGUGUACC